GACGAACGCUGGCGGCGUGCCUAAUACAUGCAAGUUGAGCGCUGAAGGUUGGUACUUGUACCAACUGGAUGAGCAGCGAACGGGUGAGUAACGCGUGGGGAAUCUGCCUUUGAGCGGGGGACAACAUUUGGAAACGAAUGCUAAUACCGCAUAAAAACUUUAAACACAAGUUUUAAGUUUGAAAGAUGCAAUUGCAUCACUCAAAGAUGAUCCCGCGUUGUAUUAGCUAGUUGGUGAGGUAAAGGCUCACCAAGGCGAUGAUACAUAGCCGACCUGAGAGGGUGAUCGGCCACAUUGGGACUGAGACACGGCCCAAACGCCUACGGGAGGCAGCAGUAGGGAAACUUCGGCAAUGGACGAAAGUCUGACCGAGCAACGCCGCGUGAGUGAAGAAGGUUUUCGGAUCGUAAAACUCUGUUGGUAGAGAAGAACGUUGGUGAGAGUGGAAAGCUCAUCAAGUGACGGUAACUACCCAGAAAGGGACGGCUAACUACGUG
rnacentral:rRNA from 1 species